UACGGGGGGGGCAAGCGUUGUUCGGAAUUACUGGGCGUAAAGGGCUCGUAGGUGGCCAACUAAGUCAGACGUGAAAUCCCUCGGCUUAACCGGGGAACUGCGUCUGAUACUGGAUGGCUUGAGUUCGGGAGAGGGAUGCGGAAUUCCAGGUGUAGCGGUGAAAUGCGUAGAUAUCUGGAGGAACACCAAUGGCGAAGGCAGCUCACUGGGACGAUACUGACGCUGAGACGCGAAAGCGUGGGGAGGCAAACAGG
rnacentral:rRNA from 1 species